rnacentral:ncRNA from 1 species
GAACUGUCGGGGUAUCCUCGGGGGCUCAAUCCUGGAAAUGCGGUGGCAACUACCGAGCUGAAAUACAGUAGGGGCAGAGGGAAUUUCCGGUGGAGCGGUGAAAUGCAUUGAGAUGGGGAAGAACACCAAUGACGAAAGCACCCUGUUGGGCUGACAUUG